UACGUAGGGUGCGAGCGUUAAUCGGAAUUACUGGGCGUAAAGCGUGCGCAGGCGGCGCGUUAAGACAGGUGUGAAAGCCCCGAGCUUAACUUGGGAAUUGCGCUUGUGACUGGCGUGCUGGAGUGCGGCAGAGGGAGGUGGAAUUCCACGUGUAGCAGUGAAAUGCGUAGAUAUGCGGAGGAACACCGAUGGCGAAGGCAAUCCCCUGGACCUGUACUGACGCUCAUGCACGAAAGCGUGGGGAGCAAACAGG
rnacentral:rRNA from 1 species